GCCGCGAUCAGAACAACAGGUAUGCCUCAGUAACGGCGAGUGAAGCGGCAACAGCUCAAAUUUGAAAUCUGGCCGCAAGGUCCGAGUUGUAAUUUGUAGAGGAUGUUUCGGGCACCGCCGCGGUGUAAGUUCCUUGGAACAGGACGUCAAAGAGGGUGAGAAUCCCGUCUUGGAUCGCGGUAGGGCUCGUGUGAAACUCCUUCGACGAGUCGACUUGUUUGGGAAUGCAGGUCAAAAUGGGAGGUAAAUUUCUUCUAAAGCUAAAUAUUGGCCCGAGACCGAUAGCGCACAAGUAGAGUGAUCGAAAGAUGAAAAGCACUUUGAAAAGAGAGUUAAACAGUAUGUGAAAUUGUUGAAAGGGAAGCGCAGGCAACCAGACUCGAGCGCGGGGUUCCCCUGGUUCUGCCAGGUCACUUCCCCGCGACCGGGCCAUCAUCAGGUUUGGGGGUCGGUCAAAGGCCCCGGGAAUGUACCUACUCCUUCGGGGGUAGACUUAUAGCCCGGGGUGUCAUGCGACCUCCCGGGCCUGAGGAACGCGCUUCGGCGAGGAUGAUGGCGUAAUGGUUGUCUGCGACCCGUCUUGAAACACGGGACCUA
rnacentral:rRNA from 1 species